UACGUAGGGUGCGAGCGUUAAUCGGAAUUACUGGGCGUAAAGUGUGCGCAGGCGGCCGCGCAAGUCGAGUGUGAAAGCCCCGGGCUUAACUUGGGAAUUGCGCUCGAAACUACGUGGCUGGAGUGUGGCAGAGGAAGGUGGAAUUCCAGGUGUAGCGGUGAAAUGCGUAGAGAUCUGGAAGGAACACCGAUGGCGAAGGCAGC
rnacentral:rRNA from 1 species